AUACGUAGGGUGCGAGCGUUGUCCGGAAUUACUGGGCGUAAAGAGCUCGUAGGUGGUUUGUCGCGUCGUCUGUGAAAUUCCGGGGCUUAACUCCGGGCGUGCAGGCGAUACGGGCAUAACUUGAGUACUGUAGGGGAGACUGGAAUUCCUGGUGAAGCGGUGAAAUGCGCAGAUAUCAGGAGGAACACCGGUGGCGAAGGCGGGUCUCUGGGCAGUAACUGACGCUGAGGAGCGAAAGCAUGGGUAGCGAACAGGAUUAGAUACCCUGGUAGUCCAUGCCGUAAACGGUGGGCGCUAGGUGUAGGGGUCUUCCACGACUUCUGUGCCGUAGCUAACGCAUUAAGCGCCCCGCCUGGGGAGUACGGCCGCAAGGCUAAAACUCAAAGGAAUUGACGGGG
rnacentral:rRNA from 1 species